UCUGGGUUGGGCGCAAGCCUGACUAGCCUGCCGCGUGGAGGGGAUGAAGGCCUUAGGGUGUGGUAAAGCUCUUUCAGGGGGGAAGAUAAUGACUGUACCCCCAGAAGAAGCCCCGGCUAACUCCGUGCCAGCAGCCGCGGUAAUACGGAGGGGGCUAGCGUUGUUCGGAAUUACUGGGCGUAAAGCGCACGUAGGCGGACGGAGAAGUCAGAGGUGAAAUCCCAGGGCUCAACCUUGGAACUGCCUUUGAAACUUUCUGUCUUGAGGUCGAGAGAGGUGAGUGGAAUUCCGAGUGUAGAGGUGAAAUUCGUAGAUAUUCGGAGGAACACCAGUGGCGAAGGCGGCUCACUGGCUCGAUACUGACGCUGAGGUGCGAAA
rnacentral:rRNA from 1 species